rnacentral:rRNA from 1 species
AAUCAACGCUGGCGGCGUGCCUAACACAUGCAAGUCGAACGAGAAAGUGGAGCAAUCCAUGAGUAAAGUGGCGACCGGGUGAGUAACACGUGACUAACCUACCCUCGAGUGGGGGAUAACUCCGGGAAACCGGAGCUAAUACCGCAUAACAUCGCAGGAUCAAAGCAGAAAUGCGCUUGAGGAGGGGGUCGCGGCUGAUUAGCUAGUUGGUAGGGGUAAUGGCCUACCAAGGCUGAGAUCGGUAGCCGGCCUGAGAGGGCGCACGGCCACACUGGAACUGAAACACGGUCCAGACUCCUACGGGAGGCAGCAGUGGGGAAUUUUGCGCAAUGGGGGAAACCCUGACGCAGCAACGCCGCGUGGAGGAUGAAGUCCUUUGGGACGUAACUCCUUU